AUUGAACGCUGGCGGCAUGCUUUACACAUGCAAGUCGAACGGCAGCGCGGGCUUCGGCCGGGCGGGGGGGGGCGAAGGGGGGGGAAAUAAAUGGAAACGGGCCCAGUGGGGGGGAAAGGCUGGGCAAAACCGGGAUUAAUACCGAAAACAACCUGGGGGGAAAGCGGGGGGUUCUUCGGACCUCGGCCUAUGGGAGGGCCGAUGGCAGAUUAGCUAGUUGGUGGGGUAAAGGCCUACCAAGGCGACGAUCUGUAGCUGGUCUGAGAGGACGACCAGCCACACUGGGACUGAGACACGGCCCAGACUCCUACGGGAGGCAGCAGUGGGGAAUUUUGGACAAUGGGCGAAAGCCUGAUCCAGCAAUGCCGCGUGUGUGAUGAAGGCCUUCGGGUUGUAAAGCACUUUUGGCGGGAACGAAAAGGACUGUGCCAAUACCACGGUUCGAUGACGGUACCCGCAGAAUAAGCACCGGCUAACUACGUG
rnacentral:rRNA from 1 species